rnacentral:rRNA from 1 species
GAUGAACGCUGGCGGCGUGCCUAAUACAUGCAAGUCGAGCGAACAGACGAGGAGCUUGUUCCUCUGACGUUAGCGGCGGACGGGUGAGUAACACGUGGAUAACCUACCUAUAAGACUGGGAUAACUUCGGGAAACCGGAGCUAAUACCGGAUAAUAUAUUGAACCGCAUGGUUCAAUAGUGAAAGACGGUUUUGCUGUCACUUAUAGAUGGAUCCGCGCCGCAUUAGCUAGUUGGUAAGGUAACGGCUUACCAAGGCAACGAUGCGUAGCCGACCUGAGAGGGUGAUCGGCCACACGGGAACUGAGACACGGCCCAGCCUCCUACGGGAGGCAGCAGUAGGGAUUCUUCGGCAAUGGGCGAAAGCCUGACGGAGCAACGCCGCGUGAGUGAUGAAGUUCUUCGGAUCGUAAAACUCUGUUAUUAGGGAAGAACAAAUGUGUAAGUAACUAUGCACGUCUUGACGGUACCUAAUCAGAAAGCCACGGCUAACUACGUG